rfam:Gossypium arboreum cultivar AKA8401 contig_2852_3, whole genome shotgun sequence.
UAUUUUAAGCUUUAUCCACUUGUACUGUUAAAAAUUUACGUAUCUAACAAAAUAACCAAGCAAUUACACGUGGUGUGCCACGUGUACCUCAUUAUGAUGUGUAGAGACCAAGUUCUAAUUGUAAAAGUUGUUGAAUUUUUAAUA